AUUGAACGCUGGCGGCACGCCUAACACAUGCAAGUCGAGCGGCAGCGGGAUUCGUAGCAAUACGAAUUGCCGGCGAGCGGCGGACGGGUGAGUAAUACGUAGGAACCUACCCAAGAGAGGGGGAUAACAAGGGAAACUUUUGCCAAUAACGCGGAAUCCCCGGAGGGGAAAGGCGCCGCCAGGUGGGCCCUUUUGGGGGGGCUGCGGCCGAUUAGCUAGUUGGUAGGGUAAGAGCCUACCAAGGCUGUGAUCGGUAACUGGUCUGAGAGGACGACCAGUCACACUGGGACUGAGACACGGCCCAGACUCCUACGGGAGGCAGCAGUGGGGAAUCUUGGACAAUGGGGGCAACCCUGAUCCAGCGAUGCCGCGUGAGUGAAGAAGGCCUUCGGGUCGUAAAGCUCUUUAGGUUGGGAAGAAGCAUAGUGGGGGAUAAUACCGCUGUGUUGACGGUACCGACAGAAUAAGCACCGGCAAACUCUGUGCCAGCAGCCGCGGUAA
rnacentral:rRNA from 1 species